rnacentral:lncRNA from 1 species
GUAGAAGGUUAAUUAUUGUUUGAUUCUCUUCUCGUGGACUUCGUUCUGAAGAUGGAGUCUCUUUUUGACCUAUCUAGAGUUAGCCUUUGCCUGAUCAGACGCGCUGCCAAUCCUGGCCACUCCUGGUCAGCUAAGUCCCAUUUCUACCUCGGCCACAUUGGAAUGGAGCUCUGCAGGCAGACUCCUUGAAGAUGCUUGGGGAUGGCUUGUGUUCUCAUCUCUCCUCAACAUUCCCACUCUGCCUGUAGUUCUUGCAGUAGGCUGCCAAGUUGGUCCACCUGGGUCUUGGAACUGAGAUAUCACAUUUCCCACGUCUCAUGCCUUCCCUCCACCGGCCCUGCAUUAUUGAUGAUGACUCUGAGCCUCCCCAGCCUUCAUUUCCACAGAGGGUCAGGCUUCUCUCAUACCUAUUUGGUCUGAAGAAUCAGAGCAUUUUUCAAGACACCAGCCCGGGACAGUUUCUUAAACCAACUAUGAGACUACAAAUGGUUUUGCUUUUGCCUUAAUAGAAGACAGUGGAAUGUCCGUUCUUGUGUAUUUAAAAAAAAAUAAAGGAGAGAUUCCCCAGAGUGCUCUGUGUUAU